UACGGGGGGGGCAAGCGUUGUUCGGAAUUACUGGGCGUAAAGGGCGCGUAGGCGGUGUGUCAAGUCAGGCGUGAAAGCCCCGGGCUCAACCUGGGAACAGCGCUUGAGACUGGCACGCUCGAGUUCGGGAGAGGAUGGUGGAAUUCCCAGUGUAGAGGUGAAAUUCGUAGAUAUUGGGAAGAACACCGAUGGCGAAGGCAGCCAUCUGGACCGACACUGACGCUGAGGAGCGAAAGCGUGGGGAGCGAACAGG
rnacentral:rRNA from 1 species